GAUGAACGCUGGCGGCGUGCCUAAUACAUGCAAGUCGAGCGAACAGACGAGGAGCUUGCUCCUCUGACGUUAGCGGCGGACGGGUGAGUAACACGUGGAUAACCUACCUAUAAGACUGGGAUAACUUCGGGAAACCGGAGCUAAUACCGGAUAAUAUCUUGAACCGCAUGGUUCAAUAGUGAAAGACGGUUUUGCUGUCACUUAUAGAUGGAUCCGCGCCGCAUUAGCUAGUUGGUAAGGUAACGGCUUACCAAGGCAACGAUGCGUAGCCGACCUGAGAGGGUGAUCGGCCACACUGGAACUGGGACACGGUCCAGACUCCUAAGGGAGGCAGCAGUAGGGAAUCUUCCGCAAUGGGCGAAAGCAUGACGGAGAAACGCCGCGUGAGUGAUGAAGGUCUUCGGAUCGUAAAACUCUGUUAUUAGGGAAGAACAAAUGUGUAAGUAACUAUGCACGUCUUGACGGUACCUAAUCAGAAAGCCACGGCUAACUACGUG
rnacentral:rRNA from 1 species